UCCUUUUUUUUUAUUCCUUAGUAAAUGCGUCUUUAAAAAUUAUUUGACCUGUUUGACUUAGAGACGUGCGCAGCCAUCUGUGGCUCGGGUUAGGCUUCGAGCUCCUACGUGAUUUCAUGAUCUUCCCAAAGCAACACCUGAAAAUUGAAAAUAAUAGUUCUUCCAUGUUGGGGGAAAAUGCUGCAUUAGCAGCGUUUGCAAAUGUCGAUGACUCCUACAUAUUGGUGUGUGCCUGUAAAUAUACAUAAAUUCGCGGGUUUAUUACCUCUUUGGGAGCGUAUCCUCGAUACUAGAAAAUGUCCCGGCACAACCGAGGGUUUGCCACCCUGUCUUGCUAAGGCUGGAUGUCGCUGGACAUCCUUUGGGAAAACCAGGGAGCAACCUAAAGGACCUGCAGCACCUUGGCAGAAAGUGUGAGCUGGGGAGCGGUGGCUUUGCUUUUCCUGCAUCCCUGGGAGCGAGGGAGGCUCCUGGCAAACGCUGUCUUCCCAGUCGGAGAUCGGGGGAAUCGGGCUUCAGGCUUUUAUCACAGAGCAGCUCUUCCCCGGGAAGAAGCUGGUUGUUUUCUCAGGCGUGAGCUUUGUAGGUACUGCUGAGCAGAAGCUUUGCAGAACUAAGGUAAAACCGCAGUAAGGGCACUGCUGAUUCUUCACAGCCCUGACCAGAGAGAGGGUCAGACUUGCUGAGUCCGGCGGUGCCUGAGAGGAUACUCUAAGCACCUCUGCGGGCAGAGACAGCUCUUCUUCAGUGUGAGCCCCUUUUUCCUUCAGCACCCAAGCAUGGGAACCUUAGGCUGGUGGAGAUGCAGAAAUGUUAAUCUCUAUCAUGUCUAUGCAAAGCUAUUAACGCUAUCGAUUCUUAACUUUCUCAGCGAAGACAAAUGUACCAUAUGUCGAAGUGUAAACACUUUAGAGUAAAAUUAAAACCAGCUCUGUGCAAUUGUCACUGUGCUUGAUUCUAAUACAAACUAUCUGAUGUUUAUGUAGUUCGUCUUUCUAAAGGAUCAGACGCCAUCGACAUUGCUAAACCAGAGACAAGCAGUGGAUGUUGCGCGGGAGGCAAACUGGGUUUGUAGGUUUGGUGAAGUCGAAGCCGCGGCAAAACCGACCUCGCAGUUCGCGGGGCUGGGAGUUGGUGAACUCUCCGUUACCCUCCAGAGCUUUUCCCUAAAGCCGAUGUCAUCCGUCUCCUGUGGAAAACGGGAGGAACAACGGCAGCACGGCAGGCGGGGAGCUGGGCUCCGUGCUUCGGCCCGCAGCCUUCGCUGGGACCCUCGGCACAGCCGUUUACCGAGGGGAUGGGGGUGGGAAGAGGGAAGGAGAGAGGCAAAAAGGUCUCGGGGAAGGCAGCAGCCACUUUUAAGUCUGCUGAUGAGGAAUUGCUGCCGGGUAUCCUCCUUUUCCCCCCACGAGCAAUGCAAACACGUAUAAAGCUUCCCAGCUUUCAGGUGUGUUUUAAAAAGUUGACCCCCCUCCAAGACUCUUUAAGAAGCUCGGUUCUCCGGGGCGGAACAAACACCACCAAGUGCUCUGCGUGGAGGACAGGAGAUAGCAGCGAUUAUCUGGAGAGCCUUUCUAUUUAUCGGCCUCUACGCAGCGAGAUAGGGAAAUACAAAUGUUCCCGGACUUGAUGAAUGGCAGGGCUUGUGUGGAAUUACUGCGUUUUACAGGCCCCUUUACGGGAGAAGGAUACCGAAAUCAUAAUGGAAUUAAUGAGAUUUUACUGGCAAAAUUUGUAAACCCCAGCAUGAACAUCUUUUUCCCUCCGGCGAACUUCGCCAGAUUUUGACGGGAACGAUUAUGUCAUAGCGGGAAACAACCUGAAAAUCCUUCUCUUGGUUAUAAUGUCCUACUUCAAACAUCCGCAGCAGACAAAGUUUUUCAAAUCUUCUAGAAAACUGUACAAGGAAUAGCACGAUAUCGCGAUUUACCCUCGUGCAAACUAUCACGUCCACCAAAGUGGAAAUAGGAAUUUCCAAAUGCGAGCAACCCCUUUUUAUUUUUAAAUAUAUAUAUAUUAUCAUUAUUAUUAUUACUUUUCCGUGCAGUUUAUUUGAUAAUAUUUCUGGGUUUGCUAUUGUGUCGGCAGUUUACCCCUGAAUCCCAAGGAAUACAAAAGCA